rnacentral:rRNA from 1 species
CCCUCUCUCGGGGGGGGGGGGAGUUGGGAAUCUUCCACAAUGGACGCAAGUCUGAUGGAGCAACGCCGCGUGAGUGAAGAAGGGUUUCGGCUCGUAAAGCUCUGUUGGUAGUGAAGAAAGAUAGAGGUAGUAACUGGCCUUUAUUUGACGGUAAUUACUUAGAAAGUCACGGCUAACUACGUGCCAGCAGCCGCGGUAAUACGUAGGUGGCAAGCGUUGUCCGGAUUUAUUGGGCGUAAAGCGAGUGCAGGCGGUUCAAUAAGUCUGAUGUGAAAGCCUUCGGCUCAACCGGAGAAUUGCAUCAGAAACUGUUGAACUUGAGUGCAGAAGAGGAGAGUGGAACUCCAUGUGUAGCGGUGGAAUGCGUAGAUAUAUGGAAGAACACCAGUGGCGAAGGCGGCUCUCUGGUCUGCAACUGACGCUGAGGCUCGAAAGCAUGGGUAGCGAACAGGAUUAGAUACCCUGGUAGUCCAUGCCGUAAACGAUGAGUGCUAAGUGUUGGGAGGUUUCCGCCUCUCAGUGCUGCAGCUAACGCAUUAAGCACUCCGCCUGGGAGACACCGA